CCCUUAGAUGUUCUGGGCCGCACGCGUGCUACACUGAUGCAUUCAACGAGUCUAAAACCUGGUCUGAUAGGGCUGGGUAAUCUUUUGAAAGUGCAUCGUGAUUGGGAUAGAUGAUUGCAAUUCUUCAUCUUCAACGAGGAAUGCCUAGUAAACGCAAGUCAUCAGCUUGCAUUGAUUACGUCCCUGCCCUUUGUACACACCGCCCGUCGCUCCUACCGAUUGAAUGAUCCGAUGAAUACCAUGGAUUGAGAGUACGAAUAGGUUCGCUUAUUUCUGCUGCUCGAGAAGUGGAGUAAAUCUUAUCAUUUAGGGGAAGGAGAAGUCGUAACA
rnacentral:rRNA from 1 species